ACGAACGCUGGCGGCAGGCUUAACACAUGCAAGUCGAACGCCCCGCAAGGGGAGUGGCAGACGGGUGAGUAACGCGUGGGAAUCUACCUAGUUCUACGGAACAACACAGGGAAACUUGUGCUAAUACCGUAUACGCCCUACGGGGGAAAGAUUUAUCGGAAUUAGAUGAGCCCGCGUAAGAUUAGCUAGUUGGUGGGGUAAUGGCCUACCAAGGCGACGAUCUUUAGCUGGUCUGAGAGGAUGAUCAGCCACACUGGGACUGAGACACGGCCCAGACUCCUACGGGAGGCAGCAGUGGGGAAUAUUGGACAAUGGGCGCAAGCCUGAUCCAGCCAUGCCGCGUGAGUGAUGAAGGCCUUAGGGUUGUAAAGCUCUUUCAGUGGGGACGAUAAUGACGGUACCCACAGAAGAAGCCCCGGCUAACUUCGU
rnacentral:rRNA from 1 species